ensembl:lncRNA
UGGUCCACAACUUUGUUUGACUUGUUUGACGUAGGCCUAUUAUUAUUAUUAUUAUUAUUAUUAAUAACCUAGGCUAUUUAGAAUGAUGCAAGUUUUUUGCUCUGAAAGUUGGCUAUCAUAAAACGUUUUUUUUUAUCAUCGCGAUGCAAAUGCCAUGUGUGUAUAAUAAUAUUCUGAAUUAAAGUUCAUGGUUGUGAAAAUGGUCGUGCAUUUAUAUUUUUAUAAUUGUGUAAUCAAUUAAUUGGGCAUGUGGCCUAUAGUGAUUCAUGUUGCUGUGCUCACAAUGUCGGAACAGCGGGCUGUGUAUGUUAGAUAAGCACGUACUAUUAUUAUAGAUUGAGUGAUGAUGAUGAUGAUGUCAGGUGACGCAUAGAGAGGAAGAGUGAUGAUGAUGAUGAUGAUGUCAGGUGACGCAUAGAGAGGAAGAGUGAUGAUGAUGAUGAUGAUGUCAGGUGACGCAUGUAAACAGAGAGGAAGAGUGAUGAUGAUGAUGUCAGGUGACGCAUAGAGAGGAAGAGUGAUGAUGAUGAUGAUGAUGUCAG